rnacentral:rRNA from 1 species
UGCCACAGCCAUAUCACCCUGCAGCCCAAAAGUGGUUACUCACUGAAGCAAACAGGGCAGAGCCUGGUCAGUACCUGGAUCUACACCACAUGGGAAAACACGGUUGCUGAUGGAAG